CUGGAAGCCUUUUUUCCACACUGUUCCACUCAACUUUUUACCUCCACUAGAGGGCCACAUUAUCAAGCAGGCGCUGCACUACUUCUGCACUGUGUUCAACCAUCUGUCAAUAAUAACUGCUGCUGUGAAGAGAACCAUUCUCACUCUGAAUGCUGAACAUCAGCUACUUUCUCCUCUUCAUUUCAGCCUCGUUGUACACAUGGAACAUUGGCUGUGGAUUAUUCUUGCUGCUCUUUGCUUUGAGUGUAAAGGAGAAGACAGAGUGAUCCAGCCAACAGCAGAUGUCAUUGCUACUGAAGGAGGCACAGUUACACUGGACUGUACAUUUGAGACCAGUGACUCAGGUCCAUCUUUGUUCUGGUACAAACAGGAUGGAAACAACAGCCCCAAAUUCAUACUGAGUCGCGUUAAACGGGAUCAAGGGAACACACCAGACGAGUCCAAGGAGAGAUUUUCUUCCACACUGAAUUCCACCUUAAAAUCAGUUCCUCUGAAGAUCCAGAAGCUUCAGCUGUCUGACUCUGCUGUGUACUACUGUGCUCUGCAGCCCACAGUGACAGGAAACAGCAAAACUCUGCACAAAAACCUCUGCAGCAAACACAACACAAUACUCCACAACGUCCACUAGAGGGAGUCACACACUGUUCAACGUCAAUGGGAUGUGAUGAUCCAGUGUUGAAUCUUUUCACUCAUGAGACACAGCUGUGAUGAUGAGCUUCACAAAUGAAGACCAGUCUCCUCCUACUGACUGCAGAAGUGUUUCAUGAGAACUGUUUGUUUCCAGCUGUGAACAUCAGA